UACGUAGGGGGCAAGCGUUAUCCGGAUUUACUGGGUGUAAAGGGAGCGUAGGCGGCAGAGCAAGUCUGAAGUGAAAGCCCGCGGCCCAACUGCGGGACUGCUUUGGAAACUGCCCGGCUAGAGUGCUGGAGAGGUAAGCGGAAUUCCUAGUGUAGCGGUGAAAUGCGUAGAUAUUAGGAGGAACACCAGUGGCGAAGGCGGCUUACUGGACAGUAACUGACGUUGAGGCUCGAAAGCGUGGGGAGCAAACAGG
rnacentral:rRNA from 1 species